GUUGACCUCGGAUCAGGUAGGGAUACCCGCUGAACUUAAGCAUAUCAAUAAG
rnacentral:rRNA from 25 species